AACAGCACAAGGAGAUGACUGAAACUUAAGGAUGGGUCCAACCGCUUGGCUCUGUGCGAGUGCAAAUAAUGAAAGCCAAGUUGCAUAUUUUGGAAGGAAAUUCCCCUUUACUUGUGACACCCCUUCAGUAGGACCACUAAAGAAUUGCAAUGAUCGGAGGGUUUGAGAGGAGCUGGGCAUGUAUCAUCUUUCAGUCCGAAUCAAUCAAAAUACCAUGAACUGCAGAGCAGCCGAUCUGGGACAACCAUCCUGCAGGAGACAAGAAGCUCUCCUACCUGUUUGGCUCAAGUCAAGAGAGAAAGCCAGGCUGGUGCUGGUGAGGCUGUGCAAGUUGAUUUCAGCGGUACAUCAUCACCCAUGUCCCCUGUCAUCUCCUUCUCCUGAGGAUAAUGGAGCAGCUGGCUCUGGGGGAUUUCCCAGCAUAGCCACCCAAUUUCUGCACACCCAGGGAAGCCAAAAUACCAAAACGGAGCAAGAUUAAACAAUUUCUCAUGGACUUGCCAAAAACUCAUGCUACACUUACCUUUGGGGGAACAAGAGUGACAUGGCUGUGCAAGAAGGAGCCAUCUGAGCUGCUGCUCCACAGCCUGCUCAGCCGCAGGCGAUGCUGAUGCCCAGGUGUGCCCCUUCCCCAGGUACUCUGUGUCCACAGGAAAAAACACCUCUACUGGGCAGGCACGUGGGAAAUUACAAAGGCUUGUCCCUUCCCCAGCUGGAAAUGGGAUGGGAGAGCAGGAAUGUGCACAGGAGAGAUACUCCCUCAGCCAGCCAAGGGCAUAUGGAGCAGAUUCUCAGUUAUGUGCCUCAGUUUUUCCCAUCCAAAAUAAGGAAUACUGUUUUUCCACUUUUUCAAAUACCACGUUUUUUCAUGGUUUGUUUGCACUGCUUGCUUUAAAGAACAAAAUCCUCAGUCCCAGCUUGCUUUUAGCCUUGCACCCAUCAAGACCUUCCAUUUGAGACUGAAGUGUUUCCUUGAACUGUUUUGCUUUACCUUGCCUUGGAUUUUUCAGGGCUUCACAAACACACAGGCACACCCACAUGACAUAGGAGGGUGUUGGUCAGUAAUGAGCUUUCUAGUCAGGGGAACCUGCCAGUUUAAUUUGUUUCUGUGUAAGACAGCCAUUUUUUAAACAGAAACUUGCUGACAUAGUAAGUAACAUGAAUGUAGGAGCUGCUUAACAACUAUUUAUAGUCUUCAGCAUGCCAGUCUCUUUGUGGAGCACACAUGAAGAUAUUGUCCCUGUCAUGAACUGUCUGAAAUUUAAACUUAAAGCCUGAACUGACAUGAAGGAGUAUUGCUGGGAGCAGGCAGGGUGAGGAGAGGCAAAGGUUACCAAGUAAGAUGAUGCCACUGAUCAGCUAUGGAAUGUCCUUAUCUUAGCAUCUCAAUUAAAAACAAAGUAACCUUGUUUUAAUGGGAUUAGUGCAAUGGUUGACUCAUAGAACCACUCAAGGAAAAGGUGUUCAAGAAGGAAGUGAUUCCCAGCCCUGGGAAGCAAGAAACUGGAAAUUUAUGUAAAAAAAUGAGAAAUAGGCUGCUGCACCCAAAACUGUGAAUGGAGUGAGAAACAUUGGGAAAUUUAUGAUAGAGAAAAGAGACAGAAAAGCCGGCAGAGAAGAAUAAUACAGAAUAUAUGUAUCUAUUGCAUCUAUUAAUGGAAGACCGAGGAAGGAAAAAGAGCACUGUCAGCUUGAAAUAUAAUCCAUUUUGUGGAGUUAUGUUUUCCUAUUUUUAAGUGAUUUCAUCUCUUUUUCUUUUAUGCAAUGAAUCAUCUGAAAAGAGCAGACAAAGCUGACUGCACUAUUAAUUAGAAAGAAAUUGAAUUAUAAAGUGCUAUCAAGUAUACAGCACUAAACUCUAGAGUAAGUAUACAUAUUUCCACAUCUCUGUCAAUUACAGCAGUAUUAACAGCAUUACCAGUAGCUAAAAAAAAUCAGAAAAAAACAUUUUCAGUAUCACAGUGACCCUGGGAAAGGGAGUUGACUCAAAAGUGGCAUGAUGCAACCAGACAAUGCGAGAAAGGUCGUUUUUCUGAAGAACUCUCUGAAAUGUUGCCAGGUUGAUUGAAUAAGCACGCUGUGGGUUGCCAGGUUCAAGAGCAAGACUACAUGGGUGUCCCCAGAGUGGUAACUAUCACUGCAGCCAUGGGCACAAAAGAAAACUGUAGCUGUCCAAUAAAGCACAAGUCCUUAGUUGGGGUUGUCUCUGA
rnacentral:lncRNA from 1 species